rnacentral:rRNA from 1 species
AUUGAACGCUGGCGGCAUGCCUUACACAUGCAAGUCGAACGGCAGCACGGGUGCUUGCACCUGGUGGCGAGUGGCGAACGGGUGAGUAAUACAUCGGAACAUGUCCUGUAGUGGGGGAUAGCCCGGCGAAAGCCGGAUUAAUACCGCAUACGAUCUACGGAUGAAAGCGGGGGACCUUCGGGCCUCGCGCUAUAGGGUUGGCCGAUGGCUGAUUAGCUAGUUGGUGGGGUAAAGGCCUACCAAGGCGACGAUCAGUAGCUGGUCUGAGAGGACGACCAGCCACACUGGGACUGAGACACGGCCCAGACUCCUACGGGAGGCAGCAGUGGGGAAUUUUGGACAAUGGGCGAAAGCCUGAUCCAGCAAUGCCGCGUGUGUGAAGAAGGCCUUCGGGUAGUAAAGCACUUUUGUCCGGAAAGAAAUCCUUGGCCCUAAUACGGUCGGGGGAUGACGGUACCGGAAGAAUAAGCACCGGCUAACUACGUG